GCUCUUCCGAUCUUAUAUGUUAUAAGUGGGCUCUGACCGGUAAGCGGUCAUGGCGAAAAGGGAUGAACCUAACGUAUAAAUAAGGUGCCUAAAUUUACUAACAAUGAAACCAUUAAAAGAGUCCAUGUAUUUAGACAGCGGGUCGGUGCCCCUAAAAGCAGGUAUCCGUUAAUGAGUGUGUUAAAACUCCCCCGCCGAAUACUCUGGCCUUGAAAAUGAAUGGCGCAUAUAGUAAUACCGAUAUUAUACAUUAAAAUUAUUUAAAAAUUUUAAAAGUAGGGGGAUGUGGAUAUCUUAGCGAAUUUUUAAUUGUAAAAUUGAAUUGAAAGAUAUCUAUUACAGAUCCUAAUUGAAGUAGCGAUUAUCCAGGUUAAUCUCCUGGGGGCUGAUGAGGAGUAGGGUUUCUGGGCAACUUAAACGGACCCAGAGUUAGUCGAUCCUAAUCAAAUUAAAUUUAGAGAAAGGGAAUAUGAAUGAUAUUUCAUAACUAAAAUUAAUUUUUAAAUGGUGACAUUUUUUUAAACUUAUUUCCAUCAAUUAAAUACUGUUUAAUAGGGAUUUCUUUCCUAUAUAACUUUUUAAUUAAAACUUAAGAAACAGGUUAACUGGAGAAUAAAGUUUUAAUUUAGUAAAAUUAUAAUUUCGAUUAUAAUAACGGCUAUUUAAAUGAUCCAUGAAACGAUAAGUUUAUUUUUUCAAAAAUUAAUUUAAUCGUACCGAUAACCGCAUCAGGUCUCCAAGGUGAGUAGCUUCUGGCCAUUGAGUAAUGGUAAUUUAGGGAAUUCGGCCAAUUAGAGCUGUAACUUCGGGAUAAAGCUUGGCUCUGAUGGAAAUCAGAACCGAUAGUUACAAGGAGAGCCCAACUGUUUAAUAAAAACUUAGUGUCGCGUCAUACCUUUAUAAGUAAUAAACGUGACAUGAAUCCUGCUCAGUGCUGUGUUUGUUAAACUGGAUUAAUCCAUUUAAGCGCCGGUAAAUAGCUGGGGUAACUAUGACUCUUAUCAAAGUAGCGAAAUACCUCGUCACUUAAUUAGUGACCUGCAUGAACGGAGCUAUGAGGUUCUCACUGUCCCAAAUUAUCACUCAGCGAACCAACAGUUGUGGGAACGGGCACAAAUUAUCCAGCGGGGAAAGAAGACCCUGUAGAGCUUCACUUUGGUCUAAUCUUGUAUAGUUUCGUUAGGGGUGCAGUCUAGGUGGGAGAUUUUUAAUCAAAUAUGAGAAACCACUACCCUUUCUGGAAUUAUACUUACUAAAAUUCUUUUCUAAAUUUUAGGAUCGGAUUAGAUAGAAAGUUUGGCUGGGGCGGCACACCUUCGAAAAAGCAGCGAAGGUGUCCUAAGUUAAGCUCAGUAAGGACAGAAAUCUUACGUUGAGGAUAAGGCCAAAAGCUUAAUUUACUGUGCCUUUUUGUACUAGGAUCAGUUUGGAAACAAAGGCCUAACGAUCCCUAAUUAGUCUUAGGUGUGUAAGACUUGGGGUGACAGACAAGUUACCUCCGGGACAACUGGCUUGUGGCUGCUAAGAGAUCAAAUCAACGCAGCUUUUUGAUUCUUCGAUGUCGGCUCUUCCUAUCCUAGUGAUGUACAAGUCACUAAGGGUUGGAUUGUUCACCCGUAUUAGGGAUCGUGAGCUGGGUUUAGACCGUCGUGAGCCAGGUUUGUUUUAUCCUACUGGAUAUAAUUUAGCAUCUUGAUAGUAGUUUGAUUUAGUACGAGAGGAACUGUUGAAUAUGGUCUCUGGUUUGGGAAUUUUAUGAAAAUAAAAGUUCCAAAGCUACGCCGUCUGAGAUAAUGGCUGAAGGCCUCUUAAGCCAGAAACUCAUCUAAAAAUAGAUGCUUUAAACUAUUUAAAAGAAUUAAAUUUAAAAUAUUUUUU
rnacentral:rRNA from 1 species